rnacentral:rRNA from 1 species
UACGAGGGGGGCGAGCGUUGUUCGGAAUUACUGGGCGUAAAGCGCGCGCAGGCGGUCUUCCAAGUCAGUGGUGAAAGCCCGGAGCUCAACUCCGGAAUUGCCAUUGAAACUGUAAGACUUGAGGAUGAGAGAGGUGAGUGGAAUUCCCAGUGUAGAGGUGAAAUUCGUAGAUAUUGGGAAGAACACCGGUGGCGAAGGCGGCUCACUGGCUCAUUUCUGACGCUCAGGCGCGACAGCGUGGGGAUCAAACAGG